AAUGCGUAGAUAUCAAGAGGAACGCCUGUGGUGAAAACGGAGCACUUGACCUAUUCUGACGCUGAGACACGAAAGCGUGGGGAGCGAACGGGAUUAGAUACCCCGGUAGUCCACGCCGUAAACGAUGUCUACUGGGUCUUGGUAACUCUGACGUUUUCAAGACCGAAGCAAAAGUGUUAAGUAGACCGCCUGGGGAGUACGGUCGCAAGGCUAAAACUCAAAGGAAUUGACGGGGGCUCACACAAGCGGUGGAGCAUGUGGUUCAAUUCGAAGCAACGCGCAGAACCUUACCUGGGUUUGACAUGGUUGGAUGCCUUUCUGGAAACAGAGUAGGCUGCCCGCAAGGGUGAAACUUUCACAGGUGCUGCAUGGCUGUCGUCAGUUCGUGUCGUGAGAUGUCGGGUUAAGUCCCAUAACGAACGAAACCCUUGCUGUUAGUUACCAUCGUCGCAAGACGGGGACUCUAACAGGACUGCCGGUGUUAAACCGGAGGAAGGUGGGGAUGACGUCAAGUCCUCAUGGCCUUUAUGCCCAGGGCAACACACGUGCUACAAUGGUAACUACAAAGCGACGCAAGACCGUAAGGUGGAGCAAAUCGCAGAAAAGUUAUCUCAGUCCGGAUUGAGGGCUGCAAUUCGCCCUCAUGAAGUUGGAAUCGCUAGUAAUCGCGAAUCAGCUAUGUCGCGGUGAAUGUGUUCCUGAGCCUUGUACACACCGCCCGUCAAGUGAUGGGAGCCGGAAAUACCCAAAAUCGGUUUGCUGACCCGCAAGGGGAGCGACUGCCUACG
rnacentral:rRNA from 1 species